GAGUGCAAAUGGUAUUGCUAGUUGAGAUAACUAUGGAUACAAUACAAUAGUAGUAUUAAUUAAUAUAUAAUUAUACAUUAUUAAACCAAAUUAUCUAAGCCAUAACAGAAGAAAAGAAGAGGGAUUAUUGGGUUAUAUAAUAUGACCCACUUAACAUACAUUCAUGUAAUGAUCAAAAACAAGAAUGGGUAUGAUUGGGAGACCAAGACAGUGAAGAAGGUGAAGUAGGUGGAGAACGGUAGGAAGAGCAAGAAGAAGAAUUUGAAGACAAUGGAUUCCUAAUCAUCAAAGGCACUACAUCUUCAAGCAGACCCUGAGGCUCGCAAUACUCAUCCACUGAGCCAGUGGUCGGACUUGCUCGUGAUGGGCAUUCUUCUGCUGUUUCAGCUGUCUUCUUGGGCUUCUUGAAGGGUUGUGGAUUCACAAGAAUAGGUUGGUCCAGUAAGAAAUAUGGGUGAGCAAAGUGUAAAUGGAGCCCCUCAUAGGUGACUAUGAGUGUGUCCUCGUCUUCUCUGGAUCUUUCCACCUGCUUUUUUGCACUGCACCUUGGGUUUGUGCACUUGUAGUAGCUUCUAGGAUAUGGGCUGUUCUUGAUAGAUUUUUGGCCGUACUUUCUCCAUUUAUAACCAUCAUCAGCCAUUCCAUUGCCACAGGUUUUGAAUUUAAGAGUAUAUUUGUUAUUCUCAAUCUUACUAAAACCCCUUUCCAAAAUCGAAAUUCUGCAGGCCUGUGAAAGUGCUUGGAAUUGGUCCAUCUGAGUGCUGCUGCUAGUGAUGGAUAAAGCAUGAUCAAUAUCUUGGAUUGUUGGCCCAGAAUAGACAGUGGAAAUGAGUCGAGUAACAGUUUGUUCAUUGGAAUAAUUAGGAGUUGGUUUGGAUUCAACAGCUUCAUUUGGCAACAGGAGGAAAGGGGAUUCAUCAUCAAGAAGCUCGCUCACAAUAAGCUCAUCUUCAGACCCAUCAAGCCAAUUAUUUCCCUUUACUUGUUCCAUCAUUCUUGCCAACUCAAUUAUUUAGCUCUGAAUUGCAGAAGAAGAAUAUGUCUACCCCUACCUCCCACACAGGCCAAAAGAAAGUGAUAAGGAGGAGAGUAAGAGAAAGGUUUAUGAAUUGGGUAUGAGAGUGGAGUAGAUGAAGAGGAUCGAAGUUGCCAAGUC
rnacentral:misc_RNA from 1 species